UGGAACUUAAAGGUCAUGCCACAAGAUCCUCCUUCUUGGCAUUUUAAUUCAGAUUAUAUUUCUCACUGCUUCUCUUUGCCCAAUUUUUCAACAAUCCAUAUUUAAAUUCAUAUAAAUAAUCUCCCACUUUCCUAGUGGGAAAUUCGACUUAAGGGCAUUGUAGUACAUUAUUUCGAGUGUGAAGUUGGAAUUUCCCAGUUCCGAGUACAACGGGAACGCAGCAUUAGAUUUGAAGCUAUCUUGGGCGUCUUUACGAGCUGUGCUCGCAUUAGUGAAACUGUUAGCUUACCAGAACGUCUGGCAAAGCAAAGCUUCCUUCAGCUAGCUCUUGUAAAAAUAUGUGAAACAGGAUUAUGUUGUAAUGUUUCAGUAGUUUCGACGAAGGAGACAUAAAUUCUUGUCAGGACAGCUAACCAAGACCCGAGAGAACCACUUGAGGACCAAACACCUAAAUAGAGGAAGCCUGGGGAGUUACUUCAGACUGCCAUGUUUUCUUACUGCACUUCAAGUGGCGGCUUGGAUAUGAUGAACCCCAUGAAUAUGGAGCAGCUAGCCUCGUCGCGCCACUGCUCAUCUUGUAUUCCGCACACAAACACGCCGAAUAAAAUUGCAGCCAACAAUAGUUACUGCACUGGAGAAACACAAAGGCAGCCUCUGUAGGGGGAGAAAAAGUAUGACUGAGGUGCUGAUGAACACAUUGGAGAUCAUGUAUGGCUGGAACCCGAGUCGCUCCAGCUCAGAUCAUCGACGCUUUGAUCUCUGUCGUCUUGCUGGGAUCAAGUCUUCAUCUCAAAACUACCAAUCUUGUUAAAGGGAAUGUAAGCAAUCUUAACAGUUUAGCAGGAGAAAACAAAAAGACCUCUUAAAUGGCAAUUAAUGUCACACAUUUUAGUUUAAGAGUGCCAUUUGUGGCUUUGGUAAUUGAGUAAACAACAGCGGGUUUUACAUCUUCACCCAGAAAAAUGAACGUGUCAACAGGCAGCCGAGGGCACCGUCACUGUUAGUCUUUGUUUCAGUAGAAAAUUAAGCCCGCCAGACUGAGAAGCUGUCGUUUCUUAUUUUGAGGGAAACAUCUUGAUGAUUCCUUUUUUCUUGGAUAAUGGUGGCAUAUAUGACUCUGCAACCAUUCAAAGAAUAAAUCAAGAUAUGAAAAUAAAUAUAUUCAGGGUUUCUCACAGAAAA